UAUACUUAGAAGGCACCAUCUGUGAACCAUGAAUCAGGUCCUUACCAGACACCAAAGCUGCUAACAUCUGGAUUUUGGAUUUCACAGCCUCCAGAACUACUUACUGUCAGGAACACUGACAGCCAUGUAUUGAGGAUGCUCAGCAGUCCUGGGGAGAAGCCUCUGGAGAAAAACCAAAGACUCCAGCCAGACUUAGAAACAGCUACACUAGGAUGAGCACUGCUUGCAGGUACAGCCCCAAUGCUGUAGCCUAAACUCCACAUGACAGCAAAGACAGGAAGCAUACAGAAACAAAUCAACACUGAAACCUGGGGAGAUCCUUCUUGUUUGCGGACACCCGGUCACCCAGUCAUGUGCUGUUGUGGACAUGCCUUCACUCAGAGAGGGAGCCAACAUAUCAGCUGAUUUCUCCUGAACCCAGUGGAAUGAUCAAGGUUCCCAAAGAAGCCAGAACGUCCUGUCUAUUCACACGUGCUGUAUUAGUCAACCAACUCUGAAGUUUCAGCAAACACCUCUGCGGCAGGCACCUUUGGCUCCCGCUUCUCCUCCUAACACUCUGCUCUGUAGACUUCCAGAAAGGCACAAACAGGUCACUGAAUGAUACUGGCAUAUCCUGCCUGCUUUCAAAGGUGCCUUGAGUAUACAAUCAGUGACUUGAAAAAUUGUGCUCUAUAUGUGUAAUAUGAAAUGAAUUGCAUUCUGCCA